rnacentral:rRNA from 1 species
GAUGAACGCUGGCGGCGUGCCUAAUACAUGCAAGUCGAACGCAUAGCGAAAGGUGCUUGCCCCUUUCAAGUGAGUGGCGAACGGGUGAGUAACACGUGGACAACCUGCCUCAAGGCUGGGGAUAACAUUUGGAAACAGAUGCUAAUACCGAAUAAAACUUAGUGUCGCAUGACACAAAGUUAAAAGGCGCUUCGGCGUCACCUAGAGAUGGAUCCGCGGUGCAUUAGUUAGUUGGUGGGGUAAAGGCCUACCAAGACAAUGAUGCAUAGCCGAGUUGAGAGACCGAUCGGCCACAUUGGGACUGAGACACGGCCCAAACUCCUACGGGAGGCUGCAGUAGGGAAUCUUCCACAAUGGGCGAAAGCCUGAUGGAGCAACGCCGCGUGUGUGAUGAAGGCUUUCGGGUCGUAAAGCACUGUUGUAUGGGAAGAACAGCUAGAAUAGGAAAUGAUUUUAGUUUGACGGUACCAUACCAGAAAGGGACGGCUAAAUACGUG